CAGUAGCCACGGGAAUACCAGCAGCCCAAGUGGUGGUCGCGAUUAUUGGGCCUAAAGCGCUCGUAGCCGGGCCGGUAAGUCCCUUGUGAAAUCGGACGGCCUAACCGUUCGGCGUGCAAGGGAUACUGUCGGUCUUGAGGCCGGGAGACGUCCGAGGUACUCCGGGGGUAGCGGUGAAAUGUUCUGAUCCUCGGGGGACCACCGGUGGCGAAGGCGUUCGACGAGAACGGGCCUGACGGUGAGGGGCGAAGGCUAGGGGAGCAAACGGGAUUAGAUACCCCCGUAGUCCCUGUCUCUUAUA
rnacentral:rRNA from 1 species